rnacentral:lncRNA from 1 species
AGAACAACUGAGAGUGGCCUCUCGCGCUUUCCCCCAGUUCUCCCUUAAAAAUACUUGGGGGAAGAAAGUGCUUGACUACUCACAGUCCUGUGAUGACCUGUGGCGGAAGGUAAACCGAAGGUGACUGCGGUUAACGUCCUCGAUGGGAAUGGCCACCUUCAAGAAUUGAAAAAGAAGUUUAAGCACUGUUAUCAAUAUCAUCCAGCGUAACAGCUUUAUUCAACUGGAGCUAUCAGAGUUUCGCUCUUGUUGCCCAGGCUAGAGUGGUGCAAUGGCUCGAUCUUGGCUCACCACAACCUCCGCCUCCUGCGUUCAAGCGAUUCUCCUGCCUCAGC